GGGGAUGUAGCUCAGUGGGAGAGCACUUGCCUACUAUGUUGGAGGGCUUUAGUUGGAUCCCUAACACCACCA
rnacentral:tRNA from 1 species